CAAAAAGAGAUCUUAAAUCCCUGAUCUUAUUCUCCUUCAAGAUGCAGGGAACAAAAUCCAUAUCUUCACCUCCUCCUCUUGCUCGCGGCGGUGAUGGCGGUUCACACUAGCAUAGGUUGAUGACGGCGGAGAAAGGCGUCGAUGAAUGAGGUUCCUUUACCAUACGAUGCGGUGGUUGUACCCUUUUCUCCCUUCUACCCCUCUUCAGCGAUGGCGACGAAUUCUCGUUUCGGCGGUGGCGUGAGCUUUCUUCAUCCAGUGGCGGUGAAAACCGAGCAUAGGGUGGCCAACCAUGGCGACAAACAUCGCAGCCUUAAGGUUCAUGGGUUCAAUGUGGCUCGAUUGAUGAAGGUGGAAACCACGGUGGGAACCACCGGUUAUCAUGGUGGUUUAAACAAAAGGUAGUCAUCUUCUCCAUUUUUACUUUUUACUUUCACCCCUUUUCGUUUAUUACUCACUUCCUUUACCAUUCUCCGUUUUGAUCUCCCAUUUUUAUUUUUGAUGAACUCAUAUCGUUUCAGAUGAUCAUCAAAGCAAGGGGAGGCCAUGAAUGUGGCUUGUGUGCAAAGAGGCUUACUCCAUGGUGAUGGUGGCAGCGUCGCCAGCUCAAAAUUAGUAGAAGCAAGGGAUUUUGGUAUCGCAACUUGUCCUUUUUCUGUUCGAGUUUUAUUAAUCCUUUACUGUAUGAAUUAAUUGGUGAUGUGUAUGUGAAAUAGAUUUGGGUGAAAGUUAAUAUGGAAAUGAACCACAUUAUCUUCUUUUUAAUAUUACGGCGAUGCAAUGUUUGUUUUCAUCUCAGUCAAAUAUACCUAAAUGUGUUUCUCUAUGAUACAAUAAGUAUACUAUAUAGAAGUAUAUGGAUUUAAAACCGAGUAUUGGCAACUGGAUAAGGCAGGAUAAGUUAUUACCUGUUACUACCUGUAUGUAACCUUGAUAUUGAUGUCUCUAUUUGGUUGAUAUGGUGAAUAUGCUUACUCCUUUGUGUUGUGUCCUGUUACAUGUGCUCUAUGUGAUAGCCCUUUUGUAUAUCCUCUAUUGUCUAUAUAUAUCUCUGUCUUGAUCUCUCAGACAUACGUAUGUAUUGCUUUCUUGUGUUUCUCUGGGAUAUGUAUGAUUUUUGUGUGUAUAUUUCUAUGAUUGUUAUGAUGUGUGAAUCUGUGGUAUGCUACCCUCUCUUUUGUGUGAGUGUGUUAUAUGAUCUGUAAUAGCCUUUUAUGCUUAUGUAUAUGUGAUAUCAGUAUCUGACUGUUCUGAUUUUACAGUGUGUGUGCGUGAUAGGUAGUCUGUGUAUUCUAAAUGUUGUGUGAUGUUACCCUCUGAUGGCUUUUUGUGUAUAUGCGUGUUGUUUUCUAUAGCAAUUGUGUAUGUUUAGGUAUGAUAUGAGUGUGUAUUGUCUCUGAUUGCCAGCUGCUUGCUCUUUUAUAGAGUUGUGUGACUAUUCACUUGAUCUGCAAAAAUCCCUUGAGUUGCCAAAAAAAAUAACCCUCACUGACUCUUUAUUCCUUUCUGAUUAUUAUUGCUCUCUUAAGGCUGCUCCUGACUGAUUGUCUUUCAUGUUGUAUGUGUAACUGAAAGUAAUAACUUCGGAUUUGUUUAGUUACCUCUCAUGUGUAAUUCUUGGCUCACUGCUUAUGAGUGUGUAAAUGAUGUUUAAUUCUUGGCUGACUGUUUAUUUUGCAUCUGUUUAGUUCCCCUUUAAGAUUGGCCAUUAUUGCUGCCACAUAAUGCUUAAUUAUGCUGAUUAGAAUGUGUAACGGUAGGGGAAUAAAUUUUUUGGCUUGCACUCCUUAAUUGCCUUUCAAGUGUAACUCUUGGUUGUUUGCCUUCUUUCUUGGAAUUCAUCAUCAUUGACCUGAUUGUGAUAUUUUUGAUGCUUGUCAUUAAGAGGGGGUGAUUCUGCCAUGUCUGUACAGUUUCUUGACCUCAUUCCACCAUCAUCAUAUUGAUUUUCAACCAUCUAAUUCUACAGAUAAGCAAUGCCUUCACUUUGUUCUUUACAUUUGGUAGAAGUAAAAACUACUAAUCUUUGUUUUUUAGCUACCAUGUCACUAACUAGAGGUCAAUCUUGACCAUCUGUUGGCAUGCUUGACCAUGGAAACCAAUACUUCUUCAAACCAACAUCAGUGUCAAACAAUGGAAGAACAACGAAAAGCAAGCGAUGAAGAGAACCCAUUACAAGAGUAAAGGAUUAGCAAAAAAAGAUAUGUAUGAUUUUUAUGAAAAAUAAAUGGUGGUGGUUAUGGUUUGACUUAAGAAACAAAGGAAACUAAAAUAUUCUCAUGUUCAUAGCCAUGUGUGAGUUUUUUAUUGUAACAGGUUCACAAGGUUGUUGAUCUUUCAUCACCCCUAACCUAGAGGCAAUGUGAUAUUUUGAUGUUCUUGAAGCAUACAAACUCUUUUAUCAUCCUCUUAUUGAAAAACUUACAUAAUGGAAACAAAAACUUCAUGAAGAAUCAGAAGCCAUAGCAUGGUAUCAAUGACUAAAAGAAUAUUGAUUUUAGAAAUGUGGGUUUGAAUGUAAUAGUGCAGAGUGGGAGACACUUUGUAAUGUGAGGUCAUUUCUCAAUGAACUUUGGGAUGAGUCGAUUGAUAAUUGUCAUGUGAAUAAAGCCAUCUAGUUUAAUAACAUAGCGAUUAGAACAUAAUUCAAGGUACCCUUGUUAGGACUCUAGUAAAACAAUGCUUGUGUCUGACAACUUGAGCCACAACAAUUUUCAUGUAUUCUUACUAGUUGAAGUUGCAUUUUCCACAUAGUAAAUUGAACCACCUAUAGUAAAUAGGCCGCACAAAAUUGAAUGUUCGUAGCUGUCCUUCUUUACGAUUUGCUUACUGGAUAACAAAUAAAUUGAGGUUUGUUUGCUAUUGUAGUAAGUGAUAAAUAAAGCAAUGAACAUUAAUUUUGUCAUGGCCGAGACAAUGAUAACAAUUUAAAUGGAGAACACAUAGACACUCGAGG
rnacentral:lncRNA from 1 species